rnacentral:rRNA from 1 species
AGGACGAACGCUGGCGGCGUGCUUAACACAUGCAAGUGGAGCGACGAACCAGGCUUCGGCCUGGGGCAGAGCCGCGAACGGGUGAGUAACACGUGGGUAACGUGCCCCGAUGACUGGGACAACCCGGGGAAACCCGGGCUAAUACCGGAUAUGCCCCCUCACGAGAGUGAGGUGUGUAAAGGAAGCUUCGGCCUCCGCAUCGGGAUCGGCCCGCGGCGCAUUAGCUUGUUGGUGGGUAACGCCUACCAAGGCGACGAUGCGUAGCUGGUCUGAGAGGACGAUCAGCCACACUGGGACUGAGACACGGCCCAGACUCCUACGGGAGCAGCAGUGGGAAUCUGCGCAAUGCGCGAAAGCGUGACGCAGCAACGCCGCGGUGGGGAAGCGGCCUUCGGGUACCGUAAACCCUUUCGA